GUCACUGCCUUCCCUCUCUGAGCCGGCCCUGAGGGGUGAGUGUGGACUCCACCUAGUUCCAGAGGGAAUCCCAGAAGAGCUGAGCUUUUCCCGAGCUCCUCAAGGAAAGAGACCAGCCUUACCCCAUCCUGAGAGUCCUGGGUGACGGGACAGGAGUAGUGAGGGCAUGUGGGAUGUUUGCUCUCCAACCAAAGAUGGAACCCAGGCCCCCUGCAUUGGAAGAUGCCAUUCUUGCUUGAGUGAUUAUGAGCAUCGUGGGAGUUGAUUGCAGCUGGGUGGUCUCCACCGGUGCAGGGCUCCAGGCGCCUGCUUCAGCUGUUUGCAUGCCGCUUCAUUUGGGAUCAUCCUCUGGGUCCAGAACAGAAAGUGACCUCAGAGAUGAGUCCAUCUCUACAGUGUCCUGGGGCCGCUGCAGCCAAGGGCCACCCACUGUGCCGCUCAAACAACUGGAUCUCCUCUUCCACAGUCUGGAGGCCAGAAGUCUGAGGUCAAAGGACGGACAGGGCUGUGGUCCUUCUGAGAGCUCUGGGGGAGGGUCCUUCCUUGUUCCUUCCAGCAUCCGGUGGAGACCAGCAGUCCUUGGCCUCCGGUGGUUUGUGAGCAUCAGCUCAUCUCUGCCUCCGUCAUCAUGUGGCUUCCUCCUGGGCACCUAUGUCCACUUCUUCUAAGCACACCCAUCAUUGGACUGCAGGCCCACCCAAAUCCAUCAUGACCUCAUCUUCAGUUGAUUUUACCUGCAACCUGUUUCCACGUAAGACCACAUUGUGAUAUUCAGGUUGGACAUGAAAGAUCGAGGAAUCCUAUUCAACACUCUACACCAUCCUACAACCCCACAUCAGGAUGAAGAAUCCGAUUUACACUGUGAGAUUUAUCAGACUAGUUAGUUUCAGAGCCUGGACCAUAACUCAGUGACCACAUUCUCACCUAAUAUUCCUUCCAGCAUUUCAAUAAACACUGACUGCUAGGAAGUCCAUGUGAAUUCCACCAGGUCUUCAAUACCACUGCCCACUGCCUGCAAAAAGUACAGCAGACCCUGCUUUUACCUUGCUUGUUACAGCCCAGGCUGUCCUGCUUGUCCAGGAUGAAAGGAGCAGUUUCC